GGAAAGAUGAAAAGGCCUUUGAAAAGAGAGUUAAAAAGUGCUUGAAAUUGUUGAGGGGGAAGUGUAUUAGGGGCGCGGGUGCUUCUAGGCUGUAUGCAGUCUCUAACAGGGCUGCCCCUCAGUGCUGGAAGCUGGUCAGCAUGGAUUGGCUUAGCGGGAUAAAAGUAGUGGUUGUUACACUGCCUAUGCCGCUUCGCCGAUCGAGGUCUAAGAUCGCUUUGCCUUCGGAGCUGCGUUCUCAUGAUGCUGGCGGAAGCCUCUAAUACAGCCCGUCUUGAAACACGGACCAAGGAGUCUAACAUGUAUGCGAGUUGGUGGGUGGAAAACCCAUGAAGCGUAAGGAAACUAACUGGUGGGAUGGCUUGUGCCUGCACCAUCGACCGACCAUGAUCUUCUGUGAAAGGUUUGAGUACGAGCAUACCUGUUGGGACCCGAAAGAUGGUGAACUAUGCCUGAGCAGGGCGAAGCCAGAGGAAACUCUGGUGGAGGCUCGUAGAUGUGCUGACGUGCAAAUCGCUUUUCGGACUUGGGUAUAGGGGCGAAAGACUAAUCGAACCAUCUAGUAGCUGGUUCCCUCCGAAGUUUCCCCCAGGAUAGCUGGAGCUCUAACAGUUUUAUCAGGUAAA
rnacentral:rRNA from 1 species